AGUCAAGUAAUUAAGUGCAUGUGGUGGAUGCCUUGGCAGUCAGAGGCGAUGAAAGACGUGAUAGCCUGCGAAAAGCUCCGGGGAGGCGGCAAAUAUCCUUUGAUCCGGAGAUGUCUGAAUGGGGAAACCCACCUACUUUAAGGUAGGUAUUGCAACAUGAAUACAUAGUGUUGCAAGGCGAACGAGGGGAAGUGAAACAUCUCAGUACCCUUAGGAAAAGAAAUCAAUUGAGAUUCCCUCAGUAGCGGCGAGCGAACGGGGAUCAGCCCAUUAAGUUAUGUGUGUUUUAGUGGAACGCUCUGGGAAGUGCGAACGUAGAGGGUGAUAUUCCCGUACACGAAAGGGCACACAUAAUGAUGACGAGUAGGGCGAGGCACGUGAAACCUUGUCUGAAUAUGGGGGGACCAUCCUCCAAGGCUAAAUACUCCUGACUGACCGAUAGUGAACCAGUACCGUGAGGGAAAGGCGAAAAGAACCCCUGUGAGGGGAGUGAAAUAGAUCCUGAAACCGCAUGCAUACAAGCAGUGGGAGCACCUUCGUGGUGUGACUGCGUACCUUUUGUAUAAUGGGUCAGCGACUUAUAUUCAGUAGCGAGGUUAACCGUAUAGGGGAGCCGUAGAGAAAUCGAGUCUUAAUAGGGCGUUUAGUUGCUGGGUAUAGACCCGAAACCAGGCGAUCUAUCCAUGAGCAGGUUGAAGGUUGGGUAACACUAACUGGAGGACCGAACCCACUGUCGUUGAAAAGCCAGGGGAUGACUUGUGGAUAGGGGUGAAAGGCUAAUCAAGCCUGGUGAUAGCUGGUUCUCCCCGAAAGCUAUUUAGGUAGCGCCUCGGACGAAUACCAUAGGGGGUAGAGCACUGUUUCGGCUAGGGGGUCAUCCCGACUUACCAAACCGAUGCAAACUCCGAAUACCUAUGAGUACUAUCCGGGAGACAGACUGCGGGUGCUAACGUCCGUAGUCAAGAGGAAAACAAUCCAGACCGCCAGCUAAGGCCCCAAAAUCAUAGUUAAGUGGGAAACGAUGUGGGAAGGCAUAGACAGCUAGGAGGUUGGCUUAGAAGCAGCCACCCUUUAAAGAAAGCGUAAUAGCUCACUAGUCGAGUCGGCCUGCGCGGAAGAUGUAACGGGGCUAAAACUAUGUGCCGAAGCUGCGGAUGUAUACUUUGUAUACGUGGUAGGGGAGCGUUCUGUAAGCCGAUGAAGGUGUGUUGAGAAGCAUGCUGGAGGUAUCAGAAGUGCGAAUGCUGACGUGAGUAACGACAAAACGGGUGAAAAACCCGUUCGCCGAAAGACCAAGGGUUCCAGUCCAACGUUAAUCGGGGCUGGGUGAGUCGACCCCUAAGGCGAGGCCGAAAGGCGUAGUCGAUGGGAAAAUGGUUAAUAUUCCAUUACUUCUGUGUAAUGCGAUGAGAGGACGGAGAAGGCUAAAUCAGCCUGGCGUUGGUUGUCCAGGUGAAAGGAUGUAGGCAUGUAUCUUAGGCAAAUCCGGGGUACUCUAUGCUGAGAUCUGAUAGCAAGCUGUACUUGUACAGCGAAGUGGUUGAUGCCAUGCUUCCAGGAAAAGUCUCUAAGCUUCAGUUACACAGGAAUCGUACCCGAAACCGACACAGGUGGUCAGGUCGAGUAGACCAAGGCGCUUGAGAGAACUCUGCUGAAGGAACUAGGCAAAAUGGUACCGUAACUUCGGGAGAAGGUACGCUGUUGUUGGUGAUGGAACUCGCUUCCUGAGCUGACGACAGCCGCAGAAACCAGGCCGCUGCAACUGUUUAUUAAAAACAUAGCACUCUGCAAACACGAAAGUGGACGUAUAGGGUGUGAUGCCUGCCCGGUGCUGGAAGGUUAAUUGAUGGGGUUAGCGUAAGCGAAGCUCUUGAUCGAAGCCCCAGUAAACGGCGGCCGUAACUAUAACGGUCCUAAGGUAGCGAAAUUCCUUGUCGGGUAAGUUCCGACCUGCACGAAUGGCAUAAUGAUGGCGGCGCUGUCUCCAGCAGAGGCUCAGUGAAAUCGAAAUCGCUGUGAAGAUGCAGUGUACCCGCGGCUAGACGGAAAGACCCCGUGAACCUUUACUGCAGCUUGACACUGAACUUUGACCUUACUUGUGUAGGAUAGGUGGGAGGCUUUGAAGCUGGAACGCUAGUUCCAGUGGAGCCGUCCUUGAAAUACCACCCUGGUAAUGUUGAGGUUCUAACUCUGUCCCGUGAUCCGGGACGAGGACCGUGUCUGGUGGGUAGUUUGACUGGGGCGGUCUCCUCCUAAAGAGUAACGGAGGAGUACGAAGGUGCGCUCAGCGUGGUCGGAAAUCACGCGUAGAGUAUAAAGGCAAAAGCGCGCUUAACUGCGAGACCCACAAGUCGAGCAGGUACGAAAGUAGGUCUUAGUGAUCCGGUGGUUCUGUAUGGAAGGGCCAUCGCUCAACGGAUAAAAGGUACUCUGGGGAUAACAGGCUGAUACCGCCCAAGAGUUCAUAUCGACGGCGGUGUUUGGCACCUCGAUGUCGGCUCAUCUCAUCCUGGGGCUGAAGCAGGUCCCAAGGGUAUGGCUGUUCGCCAUUUAAAGAGGUACGCGAGCUGGGUUUAGAACGUCGUGAGACAGUUCGGUCCCUAUCUACCGUGGGCGCUGGAAAUUUGAGAGGAUCUGCUCCUAGUACGAGAGGACCAGAGUGGACGAACCUCUGGUGUACCGGUUGUGACGCCAGUCGCAUCGCCGGGUAGCUAUGUUCGGAAGGGAUAACCGCUGAAAGCAUCUAAGCGGGAAGCCUACCUCAAGAUAAGAUUUCCCUAGGACUUUAUGUCCUCUAAAGAGCCGUUCGAGACUAGGACGUUGAUAGGUUGGAUGUGGAAGCAUAGUGAUAUGUGAAGCUGACCAAUACUAAUUGCUCGUGAGGCUUGACUAU
rnacentral:rRNA from 1 species